rnacentral:rRNA from 1 species
GAAUUGACGGGGGCCCGCACAAGCGGUGGAGCAUGUGGUUUAAUUCGAUGCAACGCGAAGAACCUUACCUGGUCUUGACAUCCACAGAACUUUCCAGAGAUGGAUUGGUGCCUUCGGGAACUGUGAGACAGGUGCUGCAUGGCUGUCGUCAGCUCGUGUUGUGAAAUGUUGGGUUAAGUCCCGCAACGAGCGCAACCCUUAUCCUUUGUUGCCAGCGGUCCGGCCGGGAACUCAAAGGAGACUGCCAGUGAUAAACUGGAGGAAGGUGGGGAUGACGUCAAGUCAUCAUGGCCCUUACGACCAGGGCUACACACGUGCUACAAUGGCGCAUACAAAGAGAAGCGACCUCGCGAGAGCAAGCGGACCUCAUAAAGUGCGUCGUAGUCCGGAUUGGAGUCUGCAACUCGACUCCAUGAAGUCGGAAUCGCUAGUAAUCGUGGAUCAGAAUGCCACGGUGAAUACGUUCCCGGGCCUUGUACACACCGCCCGUCACACCAUGGGAGUGGGUUGCAAAAGAAGUAGGUAGCUUAACCUUCGGGAGGGCGCUUACCACUUUGUGAUUCAUGACUGGGGUGAAGUCGUAACAAGGUAACCGUAGGGGAACCUGCGGUUGGAUCACCUCCUUACCUUAAAGAA